UACUCCUACGGGAGGCAGCAGUGGGGAAUAUUGCACAAUGGGGGAAACCCUGAUGCAGCGACGCCGCGUGAGUGAAGAAGUGUUUCGGCACGUAAAGCUCUAUCAGCAGGGAAGAAAAUGACGGUACCUGACUAAGAAGCCCCGGCUAACUACGUGCCAGCAGCCGCGGUAAU
rnacentral:rRNA from 1 species